UUACUUGGAUAACUGUGGUAAUUCUAGAGCUAAUACAUGCAAACAGAGCUCCGACCGGAGACGGAAGGAGCGCUUUUAUUAGAUCAAAACCAAUCGGUGUCGGGUUCGCUCGGCAUCGUACAACUUGGUGACUCUGAAUAACUUUAAGCUGAUCGCACGGUCUCGCACCGGCGACGCAUCUUUCAAAUGUCUGCCUUAUCAACUGUCGAUGGUAGGUUCUGCGCCUACCAUGGUUGUAACGGGUAACGGGGAAUCAGGGUUCGAUUCCGGAGAGGGAGCCUGAGAAACGGCUACCACAUCCAAGGAAGGCAGCAGGCGCGCAAAUUACCCACUCCCGGCACGGGGAGGUAGUGACGAAAAAUAACGAUACGGGACUCAUCCGAGGCCCCGUAAUCGGAAUGAGUACACUCUAAACCCUUUAACGAGGAUCAAUUGGAGGGCAAGUCUGGUGCCAGCAGCCGCGGUAAUUCCAGCUCCAAUAGCGUAUAUUAAAGUUGUUGCGGUUAAAAAGCUCGUAGUCGAACCUGUGUCCCGCGCCGCCGGUUCAUCGUCCGCGGUGUUAACUGGCGUGUCGCGGGACGUCCUGCCGGUGGGCUUAGCUCGCAAGGGCGGCCCAACUCAAUCCUGCCGCGGUGCUCUUCAUUGAGUGUCGAGGUGGGCCGGCACGUUUACUUUGAACAAAUUAGAGUGCUUAAAGCAGGCUAAAAUUUCGCCUGAAUACUGUGUGCAUGGAAUAAUGGAAUAGGACCUCGGUUCUAUUUUGUUGGUUUUCGGAACCCCGAGGUAAUGAUUAAUAGG
rnacentral:rRNA from 1 species